CAAUGGAUCCCAAAUAGAAGAUGGCUUGUUCGGACAUAAAAAAAGUUUCACUUAGACCACUACAACUUUGAAAUUCCACAGAAGGCACGCUACCUGCAACCUUCAAAAAGACGAACCACGAAGAGAGAGAGGGAGAGUAAUUUGAUGAAAAUUGUAAACUUAGGGUUU